rnacentral:rRNA from 1 species
CCUACGGGAGGCAGCAGUGGGGAAUAUUGCACAAUGGGGGGAACCUUGAUGCAGCAACGCCGCGUGGGUGAAGAAGUAUUCCGGUAUGUAAAGCCCUGUCAGCAGGGAAGAAAAUGACGGUACCUGACCAAGAAGCCCCGGCUAACUACGUGCCAGCAGCCGCGGUAAUACGUAGGGGGCAAGCGUUAUCCGGAUUUACUGGGUGUAAAGGGAGCGUAGACGGCAAGGCAAGUCUGAAGUGAAAGCCCGGGGCCCAACCACGGGACUGCAUUGGAAACUGUGUUGCUGGAGUGCAGGAGGGGGAAGCGGAAUUCCUAGUGUAGCGGUGAAAUGCGUAGAUAUUAGGAGGAACACCAGUGGCGAAGGCGGCCUACUGGACUGUAACUGACGUUGAGGCUCGAAGGCGUGGGGAGCAAACAGGAUUAGAUACCCUAGUAGUC